UUCAAACUUUGACUGUAAUUGUAGUCCCACAUGGGAUCAGGAAAAAAAACAAAUAAACAAAUAAACAGACAACAAGAGCAAGAAAAGAAGAGGAAAAGAAAGAAAACAAAACUACAACACACAGGGUGAGAUUGAAGAAGUUUCGUUACUCCAUUGCAUUUUGGAAUGAAUAUGAAAGUUUAUUUUUUGGUGUUGUAAUUUUCAAUGGUCAUUCAUUUCUCGGACGGAAAAAAUAAAACAUGAGGCAUGUUGUAGUGUGGAUUUCAAUUCAUUGUGCACACAUGCACAACAUGGUUCUAAUUUCUUGCCAUUAUGGACAAAGGGAUGCAAUCAAAAUCAAACGUUGUCAUGGUUGACAUGUUCAGGCAUCCAAAUUGUAAAAACAAUUAAAAAUAAAAAAGAAGAAGCGGAAAAAAUAAUCUCUAAGCAUCUUUUAAUAUAAAGAUUUAAAAUAAAUAAAUGUAUAUAUAUAUAUAUAUGUAAAUAGACAUGUCGUAAAUAUAUCUCUAUAUAUUUAUUCACCUCAUAUGUAUGUAGAAAUAAAUAUAUAUAUAUAUAUAUAUAUAUAUAUUGUAGUAAGCAUAGUUAAGAUGCAUUAAUGCAUCUUAUAGAUAAUUUCAUGCUUUUAUUGUCAUGGUAAUAAAUUGCACAGUUUUGAUAAAACUUAACAAUUUUGUAAACCAAUCAAACUACACAAUAAGUAUUUGGUUUUUAGAGUUCUUAUGACGUAUCACAUCAACAUUUUGAACGUAUGAAAUUAUUCCAACAGUAUCUUAUUUUCAUGUUUGUAACAUUAUCAUCUCAGUGUGUGUAAAUGUAGGUGGAUUUUGAAACAAUACAAGGAGGAGUUUUAGAAAAAAAUUUAAAAUUUAGAAUUAAAAUAGUAUUCACAUUAUAUUGCCAAUAAAAAGUCAAGAAACUUCACUACAUGUGCUUAAAUUGGCUUCUUUCCAAGGGAGCCAAUCUGUGAAACAGUUUUUGCACAAGGAUGCCAAAGUUUAUAACACAUGAGUCUAGGCCUCCACUCUUGGAUGGUUCAGUUGUGGUUGCAGUACAAACAACUUGCUUGAAACAAAGACCCAACAAAGGAAUUGUGAAGGCUCUUUAGUUGGAAUAAUAAUAAUAAAAAAAACAAAGUGCCUCUGAAGGAGCUUCAACCAUUCGUGAUGUCGUGCAGGGUU
rnacentral:lncRNA from 1 species